GACGAACCGUGCAAACGUUGUUCGGAAUCACUGGGCUUAAAGGGCGCGUAGGCGGGUUGCCAAGUCCGGGGUGAAAGCCUCCAGCUCAACUGGAGAAGUGCCUUGGAUACUGGUGAUCUCGAGGGAGGUAGGGGCAUGCGGAACUUCCGGUGGAGCGGUGAAAUACGUAGAUAUCGGAAGGAACGCCGGUGGCGAAAGCGGCGUGCUGGACCUCUUCUGACGCUGAGGCGCGAAAGCCAGGGGAGCAAACGGG
rnacentral:rRNA from 1 species